AUCAUUUCAAUUUUCUUUCAAAUCUAAUAUUUGCAUUGACAACAUAUUUCACAUAAAUCACAGUUCAUAGCACUACUUUUCUCGUCUCCCGUUUCUCUUUUUCUUGGUGCCAAAAAAUCAGAGUUAGGUAAGGAUCUCAAAACUCCCAGCACGACACAUUACGCCUAUAACAACCACACACAUCUAAAAGAAGUUUGAUCUAGGUAAACGACUUACUAGUAGACCAACAGAUGGUUUGGUCUACAUAUAUAGCCUUAUUAUGUUGUCCCAAAGUGUAGCUAGAGUGAGUGGUUAAUCAUGUAAGCAAAAUCUCCAUCAAAAAUAUGCUAAAUGUCGUGGUCCCUGUAAGUAUAUAUAUAGCUUUCUUUCUUGUUACUUGAAAAUAUAUCCUGUAAUUUGGCAAUCAACCUUGCUUUCAGGCAAGCAUUGCCGCAAGUUCAAAUGUGUGGCAGAUGAAUGAAUGAAGGAGAAUUUCUCUACAGGUCCAUAGUUUGCCAGGCACUCUUUGUCAUUACAAACCACUCAUUAAAAGAUGCCUCUCUCUAUAUAUAUAAUAUAUAUAUGGUCCAUAUAUGGUAUACUAGCUCCAUAUAUAAGAUUGGCACUAAUAGUACUUGCAAAAACCGACCAAGUGUGAUUGCUAAUUUGGUGUAUAUAUCUUGUCUAAUAUUCCUUUCCUCCUACCCCAAUAAAAAUCUAACUUCACAAAAUGAGCUGAUGCUUGGUAAGGCCUUAGGCCUGUGCUGUAUAUCAACCCAACUUUAACCUUCCUCCACACGAUCGAGUAGUAAAUGUUCUGUUUUCAGUGGAUUUUUUGGACCUACUUCACUUUCCAAUAGUUACUGAAGAAUAUAUACAGUCGUAAGAAUAUAUACUACAUGAUAUUUGAGUUUGAUCAACUUAUUGUUUCAUCUUAUGCAGAUAAUCAAUCGACAGCAACCUUUCUGCAAAAGCCUAAAGGACUACAAAAUGUGAUUCUAGCUAGUCUAGCUAUGGAGAAAAAUCAAAGAGCAGCAGAGACUAUUGACAAUUCGGAAUCAUUUUAUACCAUGCACUACUACAAAGUGAAGACUACUGUUCAUGCAGUGUACUUUUACAACCUUUACGUCACUUUCAUUCCCACUUUCAGCUCAAGAAUAUAUAUAUAUAUAUAUAUAUAUAUAUAUAUAUGGGUUCUCAUCCGCGCUGGCCACGAACACUAUUCCGACAACCAUAAUCCUAAUCGUUGAUUGUAAUUCCAUAAAUUGAUGCACUUAAUUUGGCUAGUGAGAGUUAUCUUGAAUCAGUGCCUAAUUCUUGCCAAAUGUCUCAAUGUAUGAUGAGGUCAACUUGAGUGCACUUACCAAGCAAAGGAAAAGUCAGCUUUUACUAUCUUCUUAAUUCUUUUAAUAGCAUCCCCUCCUUCCCCCCACCCCACCCCACUUAGUCGUCCACUUUCAUAUUUGUCAUAUCGGUUUUAAUUUCAUGAGUUGAAGUAUCUGAAACAUGCAUGUUACCAUAUGUACACAUACAUUACUUAAUCACCAGCUAGAGCGGUGGUCCAGUCCAAUGGUUUUACCCAAGGUCCGGGACACCUCUAACUGUUAAAUCCCCAUUGCACAUUUUAUCAACACCCUCGAUCACUUUGGAGGAAUAUUAUUAUUAUCAAGUAUGAAUAAAUUUUUGAAUUAGGAUUCUUAAACUGCAUUAUAUAAUUAAAUAA
rnacentral:lncRNA from 1 species